AUUGAACGCUGGCGGCAGGCUUACCACAUGCAAGUCGAGCGAGCGGCGGACGGGUGAGUAAUGUCUGGGAAACUGCCUGAUGGCGGGGGAUAACUCCUGGAAACGGUAGCUACUACCGCAUAACAUCAGAUGUGCCCAGAUGGGAUUAGCUAGUAGGUGGGGUAAUGGCUCACCUAGGCGACGGUCCCUAGCUGGUCUGAGAGGACGACCAGCCACACUGGACCUGGGACACGUUCCACACUCCUACGUGAGGCAGCUGUGGGGAAUAUUGCACAAUGGGGUCAAGCCUGAUGAAGCCAUGCCGCGUGUGGGAAGAAGGCCUUCGGGUUGUAAAGCACUUUCAGCGAGGAGGCGUUACUCGCAGCAAAAGCACCGGCUAACUCCGUGCCAGCAGCCGCGGUAAUUC
rnacentral:rRNA from 1 species